rnacentral:tRNA from 1 species
GGCGCGUUCGUCUAGUCUGGUCCAGGACGGGACGUUCUCAACGUCCAAAUCAUCGGUUCGAAUCCGAUACGCGCUA